GACGAACGCUGGCGGCGUGCUUAACACAUGCAAGUCGUACGAGGACGGGAGCUUGCUCCCGAUCCGAGUGGCGAACGGGUGAGUAACACGUGACCAACCUGUCCCAGGGUGAGGGACAACCUGGGGAAACCCGGGCUAAUACCGCAUGAUGUCUCGUGGCCGCCGGGCCGUGAGAUCAAAGAGGGCCUCUGCUUGCAAGCUCUCGCCCAGGGAGGGGGUCGCGGCAUAUCAGCUAGUUGGUAGGGUAAUGGCCUACCAAGGCUACGACGUGUAGCGGGUCUGAGAGGACGACCCGCCUCAUUGGGACUGAGAUACGGCCCAGACUCCUACGGGAGGCAGCAGUGGGGAAUAUUGCACAAUGGACGAAAGUCUGACGCAGCGACGCCGUGUGUGGGAGGAAGCUCUUCGGGGUGGUAAACCACUGUCAGAGGGGAAGAACGGCGCCGGCCCGAACAGGCCGGCGAUUGACGGUACCCUCAAAGGAAGCGCCGGCUAACUCCGUGCCAGCAGCCG
rnacentral:rRNA from 1 species